UUUGUUUCUUCAUGACACCAUCCUAUUUCUCUUGCAGGUGCACUGAGCCCAGAGUUGCCAGAGGAAAUACAGGAUGCUCAGUUAAAUUUGAAUUGCAGGUAAACAAUGAAUACUUUUUUUUUCUAUAGAUAUGUCCUAGGUAUUGCAUGGGACAUUCUUAUACUACAGAAGUAUUUGUUGUUUAUAUGCAAAAUAGUUUUUAAAAGCUACUUGCAAAGAUGUAAGCGUGAUCAUUGGGGUUGACUUGCGGCGAAAAUGUGAAGGAGUCAAAGACUGAUUUCAGGUUUUGUGCACGCUCCUUCCACUUCUGAGCCCCUCCAAGCCUGGGGCCCAGCCAGGAUUCCUCACUUCCUCUUGGCUGAGUAUAAACUCAUUUACACUGAGGUAG
rnacentral:lncRNA from 1 species